CUACUUGGUGGCUGUUUGGAGAGAAUUAGGAGAUCACGAUGUGAGCUCUCAGCUUCCUGCUCCAGCCGCCAUGCCCCGCCUGCUACCAUGCUCCCCACUGUGAUGCUAAUAGACGCUUGUCCCUCUGGAAACUGGAGCCCCAGAUAAGCCCACAGAAAAGUAACUAACACAGCACUCUUGCCAGUAUUCUUGCGGGGACCAAAGCCAGAAGACAGCAGAGGAGCCAGCAAGCCCUUGUUUACUGCGGAUGCUCUUCAGAACAGCCAUUGUGGAAUCAGCUCAUCAGCGGGUGAAUGGAUGAAGAAAAUGUAGCACCUACACAGAAUGUUGUUUAUCCAUUACGGAGAAUGCAAGCGAGUUGUUUCCAGGAAAAUGGAUGGCACUAGGGGUGAUCACGUUGAAUGUAAUAAACCAGACUCGGUAAGACAGGUGCUGCAUUCCUUGUAUUAGAAACCCACAGUUUCCUGAUUUUUAUAAUUGUUCUGUCAUUCUGCAACAAUAAAACAGCCUUUGCUCCUAAGAGA